GUACCCUUAUCUUCGGAACAACUCCGGGAAACUGGAGCUAAUACCGAAUGUGCCCUUCGGGGGAAAGAUUUAUCGGAUAUGGAUUGGCCCGCCUUAGAUUAACUAGUUGGGGGAGGGAAGGCCUACCAAGGCUACCAUCCAUAUGUGGUCUGACAGGAUGAUCCACCACUUUGGGACUGAGACACCGCCCACCCUCCUGCGGGAGGCGACUUGGGGGAAUAUUGGACUAUGGGCGCAAUCCUGAUCCAGCCAUGCCUCGUGAGUGAUGAAGGCCUUAGGGUUGUAAAGGUCUUUCGCCGCACAAGAUAAUGACGGUAUCCCGACAACAAGCCCCGGCUAACUUCGAGCCACCUGCCGCGGCAGUACCAAGGGGGCUAACGGUGAUCCCAAUUACUGGGCGUAAACCGCACGUAUGCGGACAUUUAAAUGAUGGGUGAAAUCCCGGGGCUCAACCUCGGAACUGCCUUUGAUACUGGGUGUCUUGAGUGUGGAAGAGGUCAUUGGAAUUGCGAGUGUAGAGGUGAAAUUCAAUGAUAUUCGCAGGAACUGCACCGGCGAAGGCGGCUGACUGGUCCACAACUGACGCUGAGGUGCGACGUGGACUAGAGCAAACAGGAUUAGAUACCCUGGUAGUCCACGCCGUAAACGAUGAAUGUUAGCCGUCGGCAAGUUUACUUGUCGGUGGCGCAGCUAACGCAUAUAAACAUUCCGCCUGGGGAGUACGGUCGCAAUUAUUACUGACUCUCAUGCAAUUGACAGGAGGCCCGCACAUAGCAGGGGAGCAUGUGGGUUUAAUCUCCCAAGCAUUCUCAGCACAAGCCUUACCAUGCCCUUGACAUGUCCCGGCUUUCGCCACAGAGAUGUCGGUAUUACCGUUCAGGCGCACCUUGGACAUAGUGCUGCAGUGGCUGAUCGAUCAGUCAUCGUGUCGCUUAGAUCCUUCGGGAUAACGUCCUUCAUACUUAGUCGCGAUGCAUCGAGCUUAGCUGGCAUGACAGUUUCGUUCUUGGCACA
rnacentral:rRNA from 1 species